GUCCACGCCCUAAACUAUGUCAACUGGUUGUCGGGUGAUUGAUUCCCUUGGUAACGUAGCUAACGCGUGAAGUUGACCGCCUGGGGAGUACGGUCGCAAGAUUAAAACUCAAAGGAAUUUACGGGGACCCGCACAAGCGGUGGAUUAUGUGGAUUAAUUCGAUGCAACGCGAAAAACCUUACCUACCCUUGACUUGUACGGAAUCUUUCAGAGAUGGAAGAGUGCCCGAAAGGGAACCGUAACACAGGUGCUGCAUGGCUGUCGU
rnacentral:rRNA from 1 species